AUUGAACGCUGGCGGCAGGCUUAACACAUGCAAGUCGAACGGUAACAUAAAGAAGCUUGCUUCUUUGAUGACGAGUGGCGGACGGGUGAGUAAUGCUUGGGAAUCUAGCUUAUGGAGGGGGAUAACUACGGGAAACUGUAGCUAAUACCGCGUAAUAUCGAAAGAUUAAAGUGUGGGACCUUCGGGCCACAUGCCAUAGGAUGAGCCCAAGUGGGAUUAGGUAGUUGGUGAGGUAAAGGCUCACCAAGCCGACGAUCUCUAGCUGGUCUGAGAGGAUGACCAGCCACACUGGGACUGAGACACGGCCCAGACUCCUACGGGAGGCAGCAGUGGGGAAUAUUGCGCAAUGGGGGCAACCCUGACGCAGCCAUGCCGCGUGAAUGAAGAAGGCCUUCGGGUUGUAAAGUUCUUUCGGUAGCGAGGAAGGCUAAUAGUUUAAUAGACUAGGUGAUUGACGUUAACUACAGAAGAA
rnacentral:rRNA from 1 species